AGCCACAUGGUGUAAUGGUCUGAGUGUUGGACCAAGCAUCCAGAGACCAGGGUUCGAAUCCCUGCUUGGCCA